rnacentral:rRNA from 1 species
GAUGAACGCUGGCGGCGUGCUUAACACAUGCAAGUCGAACGAAGCAUAGGAGCGGAAUUUUUCGGAAGGAAGCUUUUAUGACUGAGUGGCGGACGGGUGAGUAACGCGUGGGUAACCUGCCUCAUACAGGGGGAUAACAGUUAGAAAUGACUGCUAAAACCGCAUAAGCGCACAAAACCGCAUGGUUUGGUGUGAAAAACUCCGGUGGUAUGAGAUGGACCCGCGUCUGAUUAGCUAGUUGGAGAGGUAACGGCUCACCAAGGCGACGAUCAGUAGCCGACCUGAGAGGGUGACCGGCCACAUUGGGACUGAGACACGGCCCAA